GCUUCCUGUCUGGGCAUGAGUCCGGCGCGUGUCGGGUUUUGAGCUGCCGCGGUCCCGGGACUGAGCUCCUUGGGAGCAGACAGCUGUCCUCACUGGCAGAGGAGGAGCGCUCAGUAAAUGCUCGCUGGACGGAUAAAUGACUAGAUAAGAUAAGGCAGCUCCAGCCCCUGGAAGGCCAGAGACUUGCCAGUGUCCCACUAGCGGGCUCUUCGCAAGAAUCCCCCCGGGCCCGCCGCACCCAGGCGGCGGCCGGCAGAGGGCGCUGCUCGGGCAUGGCGGAGGAGCGGCCGGGGGCCUGGUUCGGCUUCGGUUUCUGCGGCUUCGGGCAGGAGCUGGGCUCCGGACGCGGGCGCCAGGUGCACAGCCCCAGUCCGCUGCGGGCGGGCGUCGACAUCUGCCGCGUGAGCGCGAGCUGGAGCUACACCGCCUUCGUGACCCGUGAGCACUCCCCGCCCCGUCCCCACUUAUUCCAGCCGCGCUCCCCAGUCGCCUCCCCGCACCGCUGUGGCCAGUCCAGUUUGUCUCCCCCGUUCAGGCCGCCAGCCCCACAUUCUGGGUUGGUUCCCAAUUCGACCCCUUCCCAGGAACACCCCGCUCCCCACACCCCCGCCGCCUCCAUUCUGGCCACCCUGCUCCAAUCCGCCCCGCAGGUGGAGGCCGCUUGGAGCUGUCGGGCUCAGCCAGCGGCGCGGCGGGCCGCUGCAAGGACGCGUGGGCCUCGGAGGGGCUCCUCGCGGUGCUGCGCGCCGGGCCGGGGCCGGGGCCGGGGCCGGAGGCGUUACUGCAGGUCUGGGCGGCCGAAUCGGCGCUGCGUGGGGAGCCAUUGUGGGCCCAGAAUGUGGUGCCCGAGGCCGAAGGGGAAGACGAUCCGGCCGGUGAGGCCCAGGCUGGGAGGCUACCCCUGCUGCCCUGCGCCCGUGCCUACGUGAGCCCGCGGGCGCCCUUCUACCGGCCUCUGGCUCCGGAGCUGCGGGCACGCCAGCUGGAGCUGGGCGCCGAGCACGCGUUGCUGCUGGACGCUGCUGGACAGGUGUUCUCCUGGGGCGGGGGCAGGCAUGGACAGCUGGGCCAUGGGACCCUGGAGGCAGAGCUGGAGCCACGGCUGUUGGAGGCGUUGCAGGGCCUAGUCAUGGCUGAGGUGGCCGCGGGGGGCUGGCAUUCUGUGUGUGUGAGUGAGACUGGGGAUAUUUAUAUCUGGGGCUGGAAUGAAUCAGGGCAGCUGGCCCUGCCCACCAGGAACCUGGCAGAGGAUGGAGAGACUGUCGCAAGGGAAGCCACAGAACUGAAUGAAGAUGGUUCUCAGGUGAAGAGAACGGGUGGGGCUGAGGAUGGAGCCCCUGCCCCCUUCAUAGCUGUCCAGCCCUUCCCGGCAUUACUGGAUCUCCCCAUGGGCUCAGAUGCAGUCAAGGCCAGCUGUGGAUCCCGGCACACAGCUGUGGUGACACGUGAGUGGGGCUGGGAGGCACUCUGCUCCACUCGAGCUGGUGCCUACGGAAGGGGGUGUGGUCGACGGAAAAACUUCUGUCUUAAGGCUUCUGUGGCUCAUACAGAGCAGCUACCUUGCUCAGUGGAUAAGCCCCAACCCCCGUGUUGUUUCACAGUAGUUCCCCCAGCCUGUCAGGCCCAGAAGUUUCUUCCUUCUGGUGGGAGGCUGAUGCUUUCUGUCCUCCCUGCACGGCCACAGACACAUUCCCUGCCCGCCGCCGCCUCUGACAGCAGGGACUGUCCAGUCUGGCAUGGAAGACUGCGGCGCUCGGUAGCGUGGCACACAGGAAGAUCCGCCACUUUUUCCCUCGGGAUCCUCUGCCAUGCCACGUGUGAUCAGCCAGUUGUUAAGAGAAUAUGUUGUUCCAUGCCAGGCAGAUCUCAUGAGGAUUGUAAUAUGCUAGCUGUGGGCUGUGCCAAGCUGGGCUGGACAGAUGCCUUGCCAAAGAACCGUAGUGACAAUUAUCGAUUGUCCUUUUGCUUUCAGGAACAGGGGAGCUCUACACCUGGGGCUGGGGUAAGUAAAAGGAUUGUUUUUGUGACCCUGAAACCAAGGAGAAGAAAGACCUGGGAGUAUAGGGCAGGUGACAAAGCCAACAAGACUGGAGGAAGCAGGGGCCUCGGCCAGGUCACUGGGAGGAACAGGACUGCUCCCUCCCUGGGGUUGGAACAGACAUAGGCGCGCUCAGUCCGAGGCCAGACAGGGGAGACAUGGGGAGGAUAUCGGUACCACCCGCCUACCUCUCUGAAAGACUGUCUUAAGGGAGUAUCCAACCAGCACUUACAAAGCAGCUUUUUGUGGAUGUGACACUGGGUGGAGAAAAAGAUUCGAUGGAAGUGUGUGCUCUGAACAUCUUAGCUUGGAUAGCAGGGAAGUCUGGAGGAGCGUCUUGCCUGGAGUGGCUGGUCGCCACUAGCCUCUUGGGGAUCCCCAAGGUUGCCUGGCUCUGGGUCUCUUGGAUUCACAGAGCAGUGGGGCAUAAUCCCAGCCCUUCAUUUGAUAGUCUGGGCCCCUUCCUGGAGGGAAAGCAGCAGCAAGACCCAGUGGAGACGAUGGCAAAGGGGCUGGUUUCACUUUAGGUAAAUAUGGACAGCUGGGCCACGAGGACACCACCAGCUUGGAUCGGCCUCGCCGUGUGGAAUACUUUGUAGACAAGCAACUCCAAGUAAAGGCUGUCACCUGUGGGCCGUGGAACACCUACGUGUAUGCUGUGGAGAAAGGGAAGAGCUGACAUGUGUACGUAUAUGUAUAUACAACACCUGUGAGACCCCCAUUCAGGUCAAGGAAAACCAUUGCCUGCACCCCAAGGGCCCCAUAUUUGCCCCUCCCCAUCACAGUCCUGCCCUUCACCCUCAAGCACGGUCCUAAACUUGUCUGCACUUUAGAAACACCUGGAGAGCAUUGAAAACUCUGCUGCCUAAGGUCAGCAUCAAUCAAAACAAUGAAAUCAAUGAAACAAUGAAACCAGAGCCUCUAGGUGUGUGGCCUGGAUAGUGGUAGAUUCAAAGCUCCACCCACCUCAUCCCAGGUACAUUUGAUGUGCAGCUGAGAUUGGGGCACAUUCCGGGUCAUCGUCUUCUGUCAGUCAUUUCCCUGCUUUCGUUUGAAUUUUACCAUUCUUGUAUGCAGCCUUAUAUGACAUAGUUGUGUUUGCUUUUGAGUGUUAGAUAAAUGGAAUCCUGUG
rnacentral:sRNA from 1 species